UAGGAGUGUAUUGCUAUGCUUUCUUCUGCCAGGGAUGCAAAACCUAGAGCCCCAAGGUCCUUUAAAUAGUGCCAGAUGCGUCCCAAAGUGUGGUCCGGUCCAAAAGAAUCAAAUCAGAGCAGAAUCAGGGCUCGAUCCAUGUGAAAUCACGCUCAAGCAUCGCAGGGAGCUCGCCCAAGAGUGAAUUAGGGUCAUUUGAGGCUUGGGCGCCAGUUUUGGUCGCCUAGGCUACGGGCGUUUGAUGGAGGUCGCACCCCAUGCAAAAUUUAAUGAGCAUAUGAGAAAUGCAGUAUAGCUAGG
rnacentral:lncRNA from 1 species